GUUAGUUAUCGGUCAUUCGAUCAAUAAAUCGGAGAAUAAACAGUUCUCUUCCUGUAUGUGCAAUUGCGCAUGGGCGCGACUAUGUUGAUGCUGGGGUAUAUUAUUGAUGCAUACACAUAUCAAACAUACUUUCUCAAGAUUCUACUUAAUUUGAAGAAAAAAAAUUGUUAUCUCUGACUUAAUCUCGUAGUUAUUGUACCCGUGUCUCUUUCUAGACUAAUAUUGCAUACUUAUAUACCAGUAAAUUAAUUUUGUCCUAGAUUUGAUUUAUGAAAUAGGAUUGCUUAUAGCUUACUUGUAUACAAGUUUGAGUAUAUUUUAUAAGUUUGCUUCUUUCUUCCAACAAUAGUUUAUCAGAGACUGUAAUACUAGUUGUUCUCUCCUCUACGCAAUUUGGUAGUACAUGAAACCCAACUAUGAUUACUUUAACGUUAGAAAAGCUAGCUACUAUUUUGAAGAUCUCAUUAACGAACAUAGGUGUCAUAUUUAUUUUGUGCAUACCCAUUAAAAAUUUGCUGGAUCCCGUCUCUAAAGUUGUGCAACAUUGCUUUAAAGUGCAGUGGACGAUUGAACGCUUGAAUUCUUAAGUACAUGUUCAUUAAACACAGUGCUCUAACAACUGGGCUUUCAUGGAGGUGGAGAGCUAGGAGAAGAAUAAAAAAUCAGAUAAUUCAGAGAUGAACAAUGCAAUACAGGUACAAUAGAACAGUGUGGUGUAAUUGAGCUUUUUUGUAUUAAAUAUGACACAAAAUUGAUUGCAAAUAUUAGGGUUAAUAAAUGUUGUUGAACAAUGCAAUACAGGUACAAUAGAACAGUGUGGUGUAAUUGGACUUUUUUGUAUUAAAUAUGGCACAAGAUUGAUUGCAAA